rnacentral:tRNA from 1 species
UGGUAAGUAGUAGAGUGGUAUGCUCCUGUGUGUUGACCCAGCAGGUCAUGGGUUCGAAACCCCUCUGACCCU